rnacentral:rRNA from 1 species
UACGUAGGGUGCAAGCGUUAAUCGGAAUUACUGGGCGUAAAGCGUACGCAGGCGGCUUUGCAAGACAGGUGUGAAAUCCCCGGGCCUAACCUGGGAACUGCAUUUGUGACUGCAUGGCUAGAGUUUGGCAGAGGGGAGUGGAAUUCCACGUGUAGCAGUGAAAUGCGUAGAUAUGUGGAGGAACACCGAUGGCGAAGGCAGCCCCCUGGGAUGUGACUGACGCUCAUGUACGAAAGCGUGGGGAGCAAACAGG